rnacentral:rRNA from 1 species
GCUUAAGGAGUGGCUACCAUGCAAGUCGAACGGCAGCACAGGAGAGCUUGCUCUCUGGGUGGCGAGUGGCGGACGGGUGAGGAAUACAUCGGAAUCUACUCUGUCGUGGGGGAUAACGUAGGGAAACUUACGCUAAUACCGCAUACGACCUACGGGUGAAAGCAGGGGACCUUCGGGCCUUGCGCGAUUGAAUGAGCCGAUGUCGGAUUAGCUAGUUGGCGGGGUAAAGGCCCACCAAGGCGACGAUCCGUAGCUGGUCUGAGAGGAUGAUCAGCCACACUGGAACUGAGACACGGUCCAGACUCCUACGGGAGGCAGCAGUGGGGAAUAUUGGACAAUGGGCGCAAGCCUGAUCCAGCCAUACCGCGUGGGUGAAGAAGGCCUUCGGGUUGUAAAGCCCUUUUGUUGGGAAAGAAAUCCAGCUGGCUAAUACCCGGUUGGGAUGACGGUACCCAAAGAAUAAGCACCGGCUAACUUCGUGCCAGCAGCCGCGGUAAUACGAAGGGUGCAAGCGUUACUCGGAAUUACUGGGCGUAAAGCGUGCGUAGGUGGUCGUUUAAGUCCGUUGUGAAAGCCCUGGGCUCAACCUGGGAACUGCAGUGGAUACUGGGCGACUAGAAUGUGGUAGAGGGUAGCGGAAUUCCUGGUGUAGCAGUGAAAUGCGUAGAGAUCAGGAGGAACAUCCAUGGCGAAGGCAGCUACCUGGACCAACAUUGACACUGAGGCACGAAAGCGUGGGGAGCAAACAGGAUUAGAUACCCUGAUAGUCCACGCCCUAAACGAUGCGAACUGUAUGUUGGUGCAAUUUGCACGCAGUAUCGAAGCUAACGCGUUAAGUUCGCCGCCUGGGGAGUACGGUCGCAAGACUGAACUCAAGGGAAAUGACGAGGCCGCACAAGCGUGAGUAUGUGAUUAAUUCGAUGCAACGCGAAGAACCUUACCUGUCU